rnacentral:lncRNA from 10 species
CCCGGGCAGGAAGUGGAGGGCAGUGCCCAGGCUGAGGCCCCCGGGCUGGAGGCAGGAGGCACCACAGGCCCACCUGGUGCCAUGAGAUAUGCCACCCCUGCCGUCACUCAGGGCCCUGAGCCCAGUAACACUCUGCCGUCACUGUCCUGAAACUCUUCCUUUUUGAGCAAGGGGCUGCACAUUCUCAUUUCAUACAUGGGCCCCUAAAAUGAGGGAGUGGCCCCAGGGCCAGGAGGGGGUGCUGAGCCUGGGAGACAACUCCAUGGCAAACUCUGAGACUGAGUCACACUCCCCACCCUGGCGGUCUUCCAGGGAGUGAGACCGUUUCCCCGGUCUCACUUCCAGCUCCAGGGCCAAUGUCCCCUGGUCAAGUGACCUAAGACAAGUUAGCAGACACUCAGCCUUGACUCCCUAACCUGCAACAUGGGGCUAAAACUGGUUUGAGCCAGCACAGGCAGGCCCCCACCAUGCCAGGCAGAGUGGUCAGUCGUACCUAUGAG